rnacentral:lncRNA from 1 species
UAAUUUCCAAAAAUGUGCAAGAAAUUACUAUAAUUUGUUUACAAACCAAAACACAUAUUAAAAUCUAUGGACUUUGGAUAGUUCGUUCUGUGGUGUUCUCAGUACAAAUGGUACACACCUGAUUUGAAACAUACAGAAAAAGUGUAAACUACAGCAAUCUGGAUUGCAAGUAUUAAUUUCAUGGCACUCCAACAACUAUGAAAUUUCUUUAACCCAACAUAUAUACUAUUA